ensembl:processed_transcript 1810021B22Rik RIKEN cDNA 1810021B22 gene
UUCCCUCCAGCAGUCUGUUACACAAGAGGCCCGCAUGGAGACUACUGGCAGCCAUUCCCCAGCCUGCGUUGCUCGAGCAGGUUCUGUGGCGCCACAGGAUGAGUGGGUGACGUAUCACAGAGUCGGCAGAUGGAGUGCACCUUGGUUUAGCAGAGCAGCUGCAGGAGGGGCUUUUUGAGUCUCACAGGUUCACUUGUCCCGGCUUGCAGGAAUGUAGCCCCAUCGGGCCAGGUUCGUUUCACUGAGCCCUGGGUCUGAGGGCGAAGCCCUGCUGUGGACCUUCUGAUGAACAUAAAUGCAUCCUGACCACAACCAGCCAAGAGCCCUCCCUGGAUCCUGCCAGCUCUGUGGUCCCUGAUGAAGAUGUAGCUCUCAGCCCUGAUGAUGCAGCUCCCGUGCCCUGCCUGCCUGCCUGCCGCUCAACUCCCUAUCAUACUGUUCAUAGACUUACCCUCUGAAACUACAGCCAAUCCUCCAAUUAAAUGUUUUCUUCUUU